GAUGAACGCUAGCGGGAGGCUUAAUACAUGCAAGUCGAACGGUAACAUGGGUGCUUGCACCUGAUGACGAGUGGCGAACGGGUGAGUAACGCGUACACAACCUACCUUUAAGUACAGGAUAGCCCUGGGAAACUGGGAUUAAUACUGUAUAGUACUAUGAUAUUGAUUUUGUUAUAGUUAAAGUUCAGGCGCUUAGAGAUGGGUGUGCGUUAGAUUAGCUAGUUGGUGAGGUAAUGGCUCACCAAGGCGACGAUCUAUAGGGGGCGUGAGAGCGUGGACCCCCACACGGGUACUGAGACACGGACCCGACUCCUACGGGAGGCAGCAGUAAGGAAUAUUGGACAAUGGGGGCAACCCUGAUCCAGCCAUCCCGCGUGCAGGAAGACUGCCCUAUGGGUUGUAAACUGCUUUUGUACAGGAAGAAACCCUUGGAUUUAUCUGAGGCUGACGGUACUGUAAGAAUAAGCACCGGCUAACUCCG
rnacentral:rRNA from 1 species